CAUGCAUAGGUAACUGCACACAGUAUAUGCUGAAGUAGAGAAAAAGAGGCUUAGUGAGCUGAUGAAGUGUCUGUUAUUUAUUUUUUUACUCACUUUAUCUAACAUGCAAGCAAAUGUAGUCCAUUACAGAUCAUCAAAGAUCAGUACCUUCCUAUGAGGCUUCGACAGAGCAAAGUGAACAAAAGACAAAACUGACAGGAAAAUGAGAGAAGUGUAUUACAGACAACAGAGGAGAGCCGAAUUGGUGUGUGGGAUGAAUAAUACAUUUGUCUCAAUCCUUCCAAUCCUCUCCUCUCCUGGCAAUACAAAUAGGUUUGAUAAUUCGGUGUGGAAACAGCUGCCACAGCCUAAUGCAAGUUCUGUCGAGGCAGCAUACUGCGGUGCAUUUAUAAA